GCCGGGGUGGCGAAAUUGGUAUACGCACCAGACUCAAAAUCUGGCGGGCUUAACGCCCAUGUCGGUUCGACUCCGACCCUCGGUACCA
rnacentral:tRNA from 1 species